GGGAGUUGUAGGGUAUCUUGCUGACAGGAUUCCAGAGGUCCAUAGCCAGAGCGAGUUGUUCUUUUCCUGCUCAACUCACCCCUUUUCAAGGAGUUGUUGGGAGCCAGGAACAAGUCCUGGUUUGCGAUAACCCUAUGCAGGAUUUCCAGGAAAAUGGAAACAUCAUUCCCUAGAAACAGUUGAAGUUGACAGACCUAGAGGUUGACAAAAGGACACGACACUAGGUUUUUUGGGAUCCUCAACAGAUUGGAUAAUGCUCAUCUGCAUUGAUGAGGGAGUUCCUGCUCACUCAGUCUAUUGAUGAAUUUGCAUUGUCAUGUUUCGAAAUACCAUUCCAAAGACCUGCAAAUAAGAACAUAGCGACUGGAAGAAGUAUCUCGAUGGAGCCCAAAAAGCUGAGUUACA
rnacentral:lncRNA from 1 species